CUUGGUCAUUUAGAGGAAGUAAAAGUCGUAACAAGGUUUCCGUAGGUGAACCCGCGGAAGGAUCAUUAACACGUGAUACUCACGUAUUAAACCAAACGCGAACUGUUAUCAAUCCUGUGGUCGAAUGCAAGUGACAAGUGAGGGAAUGGUGUGUGCCGCGUUCCGCGCGGUGCUAACUCACGCGUCUAGAGCUUCCGAAGCUUAAGCUUGUCUCGAUCAUGGUAGAUGAAUUUCGGUUGCAGGCCUGCACCUUGGCUUGCAGCUGGAGUGACCAAUUUCACCCUUUAUAUUUUUAUAUCUAAUUUGUAUGUCUAUGUGAAUUCCUGACUUCGGUUGGUUGAGUCUGUGUAGAUGUCGUAUAUUACUAAUACGAAACAACUCUUAGCAACGGAUAUCUUGGUUCUCGUAACGAUGAAGAGCGCAGCGAAAUGCGAUACGUAAUGCGAAUUGCAGAAUUCAGUGAAUCAUCAAAUUCUUGAACGCAACUGGCGCCUUCAGGUUCUCCUGGAGGCACGUUUCUCUCAGUGUCAGUUAUACUCUCUCCUUAAACUAGGUUUUCUUAGUGAACAGGGAAGAUGAGCGUUAUGAUGAUGAGUCAUAUCGCUUUAAAUUGAAUGAGUUAGUAUCUCAUAGUUGGUGUUCCUCCAGGAAUGCCGCUGUUAACAACUUAGUGAUGUGGGUAAAUCGUCUUCGGAUGAUACUUUGCAUCAAUGCUAUGUUGUUUGAUGGUUCACUAUGAUGAUGCUAGCGCAACAUCGUAGAUUAAUUUCUACUCAUAUUUUGACCUGAGAUGAAGCGAGGCAACCCGCGGAAUUUAAGCAUAUUAUUACGCGGAGGAAAAGAAACUAACAAGGAUUCCCCUAGUAACGGCGAGUGAAGCGGGAAGAGCUCAAGUUUAAAAUCGCUGUGGUUUCCAUUGCGAAUUGUAGUCUCGAGACGUGCUGUCUGUGGUGACGUCGGUACAAGUACCUUGGAAGAGGUUAUCAGAGAGGGUGACAAUCCCGUCGCUGACCGACAGUUUGCCACUUUCGACGUAUGUUCACAGAGUCGGAUUGCUUGGGAGUGCAGUCCUAAUUGGGUGGUAAAUUUCAUCUAAAGCUAAAUAACGACGAGAGACCGAUAGCGAACAAGUACCGUGAGGGAAAGAUGAAAAGAACUUUGAAAAGAGAGUCAAAAAGUACUUGAACUUGUUAAGAGGGAAGAGUUGAAAACUAGUAUUGCUCGUGGCUACUUUCCCAUUCUGGCUGAAACGGGUGUAGAUUGUGUGUUUAAACCUCGGUCUGCAUUUGAAUUAGUUGGGGUGGUCCCUGUAGUUAUGAGUAGGUCAGCAUCAUUUCGGAGUGCGGGAGAAAGCUUAGCGGAAGGUAGGGUCUUCGGAUCUGUUAUAGACGUUAGGCCAUACCGUGCUCUGGAUUGAGGAUGUAUCGGCGCUCCGUUUUACGGAGUGAUCACCUGGCGCCUCGGUUGUUCUAUGUGCUGGAAAACAAUGUUUUGCUGUGUGUAGGAUGGCUGACUGCGUUAGGGCGUCACUGCGCCGACGCGAUGCUGACGAAAUGGUUUUCAUCUACCCGUCUUGAAACACGGACC
rnacentral:rRNA from 1 species